GAGUUUGAUCCUGGCUCAGGAUGAACGCUAGCGGCAGGCUUAACACAUGCAAGUCGAGGGGUAGAGGAAGCUUGCUUCCUUGAGACCGGCGCACGGGUGCGUAACGCGUAUGCAAUCUACCUUGUACAGGGGGAUAGCCCAGAGAAAUUUGGAUUAAUACCCCAUAGUGUAGUUGAAUGGCAUCAUUUAACUACUAAAGUUCCAACGGUACAAGAUGAGCAUGCGUCCUAUUAGCUAGUUGGUGUGGUAACGGCAUACCAAGGCUACGAUAGGUAGGGGUCCUGAGAGGGAGAUCCCCCACACUGGUACUGAGACACGGACCAGACUCCUACGGGAGGCAGCAGUGAGGAAUAUUGGACAAUGGGCGCAAGCCUGAUCCAGCCAUGCCGCGUGCAGGAAGACGGUCCUAUGGAUUGUAAACUGCUUUUAUACGGGAAGAACACUCCUACGUGUAGGAACUUGACGGUACCGUAAGAAUAAGGAUCGGCUAACUCCGUGCCAGCCGCCGCAGU
rnacentral:rRNA from 1 species